GAGUUUGAUCGUGGCUCAGAACGAACGCCGGCGGCAGGCCUAACACAUGCAAGUCGGACGAGACCUUCGGGUCUAGUGGCGCACGGGUGAGUAACGCGUGGGAAUCUGCCCUGUGGUACGGAAUAACAUCGGGAAACUGGUGCUAAUACCGUAUAUCCCCUGAGGGGGAAAGAUUUAUCGCCAUAGGAGGAGCCCGCGUAGGAUUAGCUAGUUGGUGAGGUAACGGCUCACCAAGGCGACGAUCCUUAGCUGGUCUGAGAGGAUGAUCAGCCACACUGGGACUGAGAUACGGCCCAGACUCCUACGGGAGGCAGCAGUGGGGAAUAUUGGACAAUGGGGGAAACCCUGAUCCAGCCAUGCCGCGUGUGUGAUGAAGGCCUCGGUUGUAAGACACUUCUACACGUAGACGAUAGAUAGAGGUAACGGUAGAGAAGAAGACCCGG
rnacentral:rRNA from 1 species